ACCAUGAAGUACUGCAGAUGUGGCUGCUGUGUCACACGUGCAUCCCUAGGUGGCAGAGAGGAAUGCGAGAGGCUAUGUCUAUACUCAGUGUUCUGACCUAGGAACAUCUGAAUGAUUAGCAACUUAAAAUU
ensembl:snoRNA Gm23903 predicted gene, 23903